CUUGCACUUAUUGUGACUCCAGGAUUUAGCCGCCCAAUGCAAAUAAUGUGUAUUUCACAAAGCCUGUUCAAGCAGGCUAAUCAUGUCUAUUGGGUGUAAUCCCAGAAAAUUGGGAAUUUUUGUAAGAAAAAAAAUCUUGACUUGAUUUGAUGCUCAAUCUAUGAGCAGAAUCUUAAAGUGACAUUAUAGUCAUCAAAACAACUUUAGCUUA